rnacentral:rRNA from 1 species
AACGUAGGUGGCGAGCGUUAUCCGGAAUUAUUGGGCGUAAAGAGCUCGUAGGCGGUUUGUCGCGUCUGCCGUGAAAGUCCGGGGCUCAACUCCGGAUCUGCGGUGGGUACGGGCAGACUAGAGUGAUGUAGGGGAGACUGGAAUUCCUGGUGUAGCGGUGAAAUGCGCAGAUAUCAGGAGGAACACCGAUGGCGAAGGCAGGUCUCUGGGCAUUAACUGACGCUGAGGAGCGAAAGCAUGGGGAGCGGACAGG